GGCACCAUCAUCAAAUGGCGUAUACUGUUAUGGAAAACCGUUCGAAGUACUAAACUGCAGCCUUACAAAGUGUACAGUUGAUGGAAGUUGGGGAGAGUGGAGUAAGUGGUCAGAUUGUAAUGCAACUUGUGACGGUGGUGUACAGAAGCGUACGCGUUAUUGCAACAAUCCAUAUCCUUUUGUUGGAGGAUCUGCAUGCUCAGGGAUGGCCGACCAAAUACUAAUAUGCGCAGAGAUUAUUUGUCCAGUUUUUGGAGCCUGGUCAGAAUGGGGAGUUUGGAGCUUAUGUUCAACCUCAUGUGGUACAGGAAAUAGGACAAGGGGAAGACUGUGUGACAAUCCUCCUCCCUCUCAUGGUGGAGAGUAUUGUAAUGGCGAUACUUUGGAUUCGGAUACUUGUAAUACUCAUGAA